rnacentral:rRNA from 1 species
AUACGUAGGGGGCAAGCGUUGUCCGGAAUGAUUGGGCGUAAAGGGCGCGUAGGCGGCCUGGUAAGUCUGGAGUGAAAGUCCUGCUUUUAAGGUGGGAAUUGCUUUGGAUACUGUCGGGCUUGAGUGCAGGAGAGGUAAGUGGAAUUCCCGGUGUAGCGGUGAAAUGCGUAGAGAUCGGGAGGAACACCAGUGGCGAAGGCGACUUACUGGACUGUAACUGACGCUGAGGCGCGAAAGUGUGGGGAGCAAACAGGAUUAGAUACCCUGGUAGUCCACACUGUAAACGAUGAAUGCUAGGUGUAGGGGGUAUCGACCCCUUCUGUGCCGGAGUUAACACAAUAAGCAUUCCGCCUGGGGAGUACGGCCGCAAGGUUGA